rnacentral:lncRNA from 1 species
AAAUAAGUCAGGAGCUAAAGAAAUUAUGUCUCAUUAAACAAAAACAUAAAAAUACAGAUCCUUAAGACCUGUAAGAUCCAUAACUGCAGCCGGUUUUUCACUCAAGUCUCCCAGGAGAUCGCAACACUGUAGGAAUCAGUAAAAUGGAGAACGGUCUGAAACUAAGAGGUAAUGGAGGGCAGGUUAGAAAGCUAAUGCCUUGAGGAGCCUCCUUCUCUCCUGGAGGCAGCCUGGAGGUGAAUCUGGAGAGACUAGCACAAGUCCCUUGAACUGGGAGUACCAGACAAGGAGGUGUUAUACUGAGAAUGGUAGAUUCCAGAGAAACUUGGAAAUACAACCAAGCCUGUGGGCUUCAGUAGAGCCUAGAGGAGCCUGUUCUGGGAACUCUUGGUACAGAAUUCUGCAACCUGGCCUCCUGGUCUGAACAGAGUUUACAGUAGAAAAACUGAGCACAAGCUCAGGGCUUCCCUGCUCUUUCUGUUGCGUGUGUUUAUUUUACCUAUUGUGGAUAUACAGCAUAAAAUAUAUCAUUUGGAUCAUUUUUUUUAAGCUCAUGCUCUCUUGGCAUGAAAUAUAUUUGCAAAGUUGUGCAAUCAUUACCACUACCUGUUUUCACAAUUCUUUGUCACCCUAAACAAACUUGUAACCGUUAAGCAAUAACCCUGCCCCCGGCUCCAGUAAUCCCUAUUCCACUUUCUGUCUCUAUGACUCUUCCUACACAAGAUAAGCAGGGUCCUGCAAUACCUGUCCUUUUGUUUCUAGCUUAUUUUGUCUAGCAUGCUUCCUGAUUCAUCCAGGUUGUAGCAUGUAUCAGAAUUCCAUUCCUUUUGUGACGUCAAAGGAUUUUAUGUCGAUGCUAUAUUUUCAUUAUCUACUAAUCAGUUGACAGACUUAUUUUCACUUAUGAAGAACUGAGUAAAUUAAACUCAUAGACCCUUUAAUAGCAAAUUAACUGAUGAUCAGUUACUAUAACAUCAUACCAAAAUAGUCUAAAUUUCCUGUUUUGGUUAAACCAACAUGUUUCUCUAAAACUACAAGGAAAAUGCUUACUCUCCCCCAAAGUUGUCUCACUCACACUUCAUAAUUAAUAUUUGUCUUUCACACAUACUGCAAUUUUUAAGAUGGGGAAAUACUCUUUGAGUUUUUCUAUAAAUAUGUGGAGGAAGAAGAAUUGUAGCAUUUAUAUUCAUUAAGUUACACAUUAUAUGCAGUUGUCAAAAUGAUGAUGUUAGAUUUUAAUUACAAAUAGAUUUUUUUCAUACACUAUAUUCUGAUCAUAUUUUCCCUCCCCAACUCCUCCCAGACCCUCCCAACUCCCCAUAUUCUUCCUUUUUCUCCAUCAUUAGAAAACAAACAGGCAACUAAAUAGAAAAAAAGGAAGAUCCGGAAUAGAAUAUAAAACAAAAUAAAGAAAAGCAUGAGACAUAUACAGAUACACAGAUAUACAGAUGUACAGAUGUACAGAUAAACGAACACACAAACAGCCCAUAAAAACAUAAGAUUGGAACACAGAAUACAUAAGCACAUUUUUUUAAAUACUCAAAGUAUUAUGAAACAAAAACACUUCAGAAGUACUAGUGAGUUCAUUUUCUGUUGGCCUUCUACUGCUGAGCAUGGGGCCUGCCCUUGAGUGUGGUUUGUAUGCCCAGUGAAACUCCAUUGGAGAAAAUUAAUUCUUCCUUUUUGAUUAGUUGUCAGUUGUAGAUAGCUUCUGGAUUAGGGAUUUCAGCAUGCAUCCAUGUCCCCUCAGCACUGGGACCCCAUCGGGCUUGGACCUGUGCAGACCAGUGCAUACUGCUACACUUUCUGAGUUCCUAUAUGCAUCAGCCCUGUUAUAACUAGGUCUUGUUUUUGUUUUUGUUUGUUUGUCUUCUUUCCCCACUGACUCUUACAAUCUUUCUACCUCCUGUUCUCCAGAGUUCCCUGGGCCCUGAGGAGAGAGAUUUGAUGUUAACAGUCCAUUUAGGACUAAGUGUUCUAAGGUCUCUCACUCUGUACACUGUCCAGUUAUGGGUCUCUGUAUCUGUUCCCAUCUACUACAGGAGGAAGCGUCUCUGCUGUGGCUGGUAUAACAGAAUGUCGUUAGGAGUCAUUUUUUUUCCUUUAGCAAAAAGAUAGUAUUUGGUUUUUCCCCCUAGGUACUUGGUCUAUCUAGUCUCAAGUUCUUGGGCAUCCGAGGAGUGUCAGGCUUGGGUUCCAUCUCAUAAAGCAGGCCUUAAAUCCAAUUAGAUAGUCCUUGGCUACUCUCACUUCUGUGCCACCAUUGCACCGGCAUAUGACGAAGGCAGGUGACCACUGUAGACUGAAGGGUUUGUAGGUGGGUUGGUGUUCACUCUUCUCCUUUAGUAAUGUGCAGGGCACCUUCCAGCACCAUGAGCGCGCAGGAAGGGUAGGCUGUAGGGACGCACCACUCAACUUCUCGUGUAGUAGCUUUGUCUUCAGCAGUAGGGACCUACUGUCAGUUUGUAGAGAGCAACCAGUACCUUUGGCAAUAGCCUGGGUUAUUUGAGGUGUUUCCACUGGGUCACUUUGGCCAAAAACUCACCUAGAUGUAACUCAUGGCUGGCACUGGGGGUUUCAUUUGGUGACAAAAAAAUGUCUAGUUAGGGCUUUGUCUCCCUGAUAUUUUCUGAUUCCAUUUUAAGAAGCUUCUACUGUAGUAGGUUUCCAUAUGACCCCUCAAAUGGCCCUUUGAUUUCUCUGUCUUUCCCCAUGUUCCCACGGUUCCCUGCUCUUCUGUCUGCCUCUCCAUUUAAUCCUCCUGCUCCACUCUCCACUACCCUGCUUCUCCAUUACUAUAUAUUCUAUUCUUCCUUCGGAAGAGUCUUUCCUUCCCCGAGUCCCUUAGUCUAUACCUAACCUCUGUGGUUGUAUAAAUUGUACCCAGUUAUCAAAGACUUACAAGCUAAUACCCACAUAAAACUGAGUCACUUUUUAUCCUUAGGUUGCUAAUAAAAUUCAUUGUGGAAAACAAUCUAUCACCCGGGAUAGACAGAAUAAAAUCAAGUAAAGCAAUGAUGCCCAGUUUUGCUGAGUUCUGCUGGUGUCCCAAAGCUAGGAAUCUAGAGCCUAUCAUGAAAGAAGGCUCACCUUCACGAGGUCCGAGUUAAGGAGCAGCACAGCCUGCUAUGCUUUUUGAUGGAGUCAGAAAAGAUGGAAAAAUGACUUGAAAGGACUAAAUGUCUGUGUGAGUCAGCAUUAUAUAAUGCCACCCCAGCACACACCUACAGCCUGGAGCCUUCACCCCUCCACCGGAUCCUCGUCUUGGAAACUCUUCAAUGAUAGAAUACACUGAGACCAAGUCUCACAAACUAGCAAGGCUUAGCAGUAAGUGGUGCUCCAUGCCUCUCUAAAGAAAACAGAACUUUUUACACCUUACCAGCUUUGAUGACUAACAUUAGACAGAAAUAUUAUAAACCCUGUUUGGGCUUUUUGGAACCUCUGUCGUUCUCUGUUUAGGUUUUCCUCGGAAUUUUUAUCUCUUUAAUUAAAUUUUAUUUUCAUAUACUC